rnacentral:rRNA from 1 species
AACGAACGCUGGCGGCAGGCCUAACACAUGCAAGUCGAGCGGGCAUUUCGGUGCUAGCGGCGGACGGGUGAGUAACGCGUGGGAACGUGCCCUUUUCUGCGGAAUAGUCCUGGGAAACUGGGGGUAAUACCGCAUACGCCCUUUUGGGGAAAGAUUUAUCGGAGAAGGAUCGGCCCGCGUUGGAUUAGGUAGUUGGUGGGGUAAUGGCCCACCAAGCCGACGAUCCAUAGCUGGUUUGAGAGGAUGAUCAGCCACACUGGGACUGAGACACGGCCCAGACUCCUACGGGAGGCAGCAGUGGGGAAUCUUAGACAAUGGGGGCAACCCUGAUCUAGCCAUGCCGCGUGAGUGAUGAAGGCCUUAGGGUUGUAAAGCUCUUUCAGCUGGGAAGAUAAUGACGGUACCAGCAGAAGAAGCCCCGGCUAACUCCGUG